UCUUCUAUAAAUAAAGGGGCUUCGAGACCCUCAAAGUAAGUUCUUAAUCCCUGCUCUUUCCUUCUCGUUGUUUUUCAUCUCCUGACUUGAGCGUCAGAAGGUCUUCACUGGAGAACAUCCCGGUGAGAAUUUUUUACAGGUAUUCGGACGGAGCUCUAGUGACAGCGUCACUUUGGCCAUCUUCACUUGGGCGUCGAACC
rnacentral:lncRNA from 1 species